ACGGAAGGCAGCAGUAGGGAAUAUUGCACAAUGGGGGAAACCCUGAUGCAGCAACGCCACGUGUGGGAAGAAGCAUUUCGGUGUGUAAACCACUGUCGAUAGGGAAUAAGGCCUGUUUUCGGGCAGGUUGAAUGUACCAUUAGAGGAAGCACCGGCAAACUUCGUGCCAGCAGCCGCGGUAAUACGAGGGGUGCAAGCGUUGUUCGGAAUCACUGGGCGUAAAGGGAGCGCAGGCGGAAGUGCAAGCGGUCUGUACAAUACCGGGGCCCAACCCCGGACCUGCAGACCGGACUGCAUUUCUUGGAUAGUUCAGGGGCAAGCGGAAUUCCUGGUGUAGCGGUGGAAUGCGUAGAGAUCAGGAAGAACACCGAUGGCGAAGGCAGCUUGCUGGGGACUUAUCGACGCUCAUGCUCGAAAGUGCGGGUAGCAAACAGGAUUAGAUACCCUGGUA
rnacentral:rRNA from 1 species